GAUGAACGCUGGCGGCGUGCCUAAUACAUGCAAGUCGAGCGAACAGACGAGGAGCUUGCUCCUCUGACGUUAGCGGCGGACGGGUGAGUAACACGUGGAUAACCUACCUAUAAGACUGGGAUAACUUCGGGAAACCGGAGCUAAUACCGGAUAAUAUAUUGAACCGCAUGGUUCAAUAGUGAAAGACGGUUUUGCUGUCACUUAUAGAUGGAUCCGCGCCGCAUUAGCUAGUUGGUAAGGUAACGGCUUACCAAGGCAACGAUGCGUAGCCGACCUGAGAGGGGGAGAGGCCACCCGGGAGCGGAACCAGGCACAGGCCGCCGAGGGGAGGAGGCAGAAGGGAACUUUCGGCAGAGGGCGAAAGCCUGACGGGACAGGCCGAGGGGAGGGACAAGGUUGUUCGGAUCGUAAAGAUGUGUUAUGGGGAAGAAACAAAUGUGAAAGUAAAUAUACACUUCUGGACGGUAACUAAUAAAAAAGCAACGGCUAACUACGGG
rnacentral:rRNA from 1 species